UACGGAGGAUCCAAGCGUUGUCCGGAUUUAUUGGGUUUAAAGGGUGCGUAGGCGGAUAUGCAAGUCAGAGGUGAAAGCUAGCAGCUUAACUGUUAAAUUGCCUUUGAAACUGCAUAUCUUGAGUAUAGUUGAGGUGGGCGGAAUGUAUCAUGUAGCGGUGAAAUGCUUAGAUAUGAUACAGAACUCCGAUUGCGAAGGCAGCUCACUAAGCUAUAACUGACGCUGAGGCACGAAAGCGUGGGUAGCGAAC
rnacentral:rRNA from 1 species